GAUGAACGCUAGCUACAGGCCUAACACAUGCAAGUCGCGGGGCAGCAUGGGGGUUGCUUGCAACUCCUGAUGGCGACCGGCGCACGGGUGAGUAACGCGUAUCCAACCUGCCCUUCACCACGGGAUAACCCGGCGAAAGUCGGACUAAUACCGUAUGUUGUCCAUUGACGGCUCCCGAUUUGGACGAAAGGCUUGGCGGCGAAAGGAUGGGGAUGCGUCCGAUUAGCUUGACGGCGAGGUAACGGCCCACCGUGGCUACGAUCGGUAGGGGUUCGGAGAGGCAGGUCCCCCACACUGGAGCUGAGGCACGGUCCAGACUGCUACGCGAGGGAGGAGAGUGGAAUAUUGGGCAAUGGGCGUAGGCCUGAACCAGCCAAGUAGCGUGCAGGGGGACGGGGCUAUGGGAUGUAAACUGCUUUUAUGCGGGGAUAGAGUGGCCCACGUGUGGGCUUUUGCCGGUACCGAAUGAAUAAGGACCGGCUAAUUCCGUG
rnacentral:rRNA from 1 species